CGGCGGAACACGUGAAAUUCCGUCGGAAUCCGGGAGGACCAUCUCCCAAGGCUAAAUACUCCCUAGUGACCGAUAGUGAACCAGUACCGUGAGGGAAAGGUGAAAAGCACCCCGGAAGGGGAGUGAAACAGUUCCUGAAACCGUGUGCCUACAAGUAGUUAGAGCCCGUUAAUGGGUGAUAGCGUGCCUUUUGUAGAAUGAACCGGCGAGUUACGAUUUGUUGCAAGGUUAAGCGGAAAAAGCGGAGCCGUAGCGAAAGCGAGUCUGAAUAGGGCGCAUAAGUAACAGGUCGUAGACCCGAAACCAGGUGAUCUACCCAUGUCCAGGAUGAAGGUAAGGUAAUACUUACUGGAGGUCCGAACCCACGCACGUUGAAAAGUGCGGGGAUGAGGUGUGGGUAGCGGAGAAAUUCCAAUCGAACUUGGAGAUAGCUGGUUCUCUCCG
rnacentral:rRNA from 1 species